rnacentral:lncRNA from 1 species
UCCGUGUUUAAUUUAUGUAAAUAACUCGUGGUCUGAUGCCAUGUAAAUAUCACUGACAUGAAUCCAAGUACAUACAGAAACUACUCAGAAUGUAAAGAUGUCUCAACACAAUUAAACUGUUUUAAAAUUACUAACAAAUAAAUUCUCAAACUGCCACUCAAGUACAGAAAUUUCUUUGAAUUUCAAAUACACUGAACUGUAGCAAUGUAAUUGCUUCUCAGAAAAGGUAUAAACAAAGGCCCCAUCCUGCAUUAGAAUGCAGAGGAGCAGAACCUGAAAAUAUUUCAAGUCCUGCUGAUUCCUGAAGCUAUUCACAGAAAAAAAGAAAAAGAAAGAAGGAAAGAAAGAAAGAAGGAAAGAAAGAAAGAAGGAAAGAAAGAAAGAAGGAAAGAAAGAAAGAAAGAAAGAAAAAGAAAAAUUAUUUUCCAAACAAGUUGAGGUCAUAAUGUAAAAUUCUGGAUAUGCCAUUGGAAUAGAGGACCCCCCUGAAGUCCCAGCCUGCAUUAAGCUGUGAUUCUACGCUUCUGUCACAAAGUAGUAAAUUCUCUCAUACAGCGGUUCCUCCUGGAGACAAAAACUUCUGUCUAUAACCACAUGAAGGAAGGACUGAUGAGAAUUAAACAACAAAAUGUUAACAGCACACCAUAGGGUCUGGAAGUUACCAAAGCACGAAAUCUGGGACCAGCCAUUUUACAUGGGAUGCUGAAAUUUGUCCUAGCUGUGAGAAGUUUGUUGUCUAUGCUUGCUGAGGAUAAAUCUGAUACAAAGACAAAAGAGAGAAUUGUAGGAAUGGGUGAAAUGCAAAACUCUGGAUGAUGAGUUUUCCCUAUAUAUAUCUCCUGAAAGAAUGCAGUCUGAAUUCUGGUUGGAAGGGAAGGAGCUUCAAGGAAAGGAGAGGAGUAUCUACAGUGGUGGCUGAACUUAGAGCACAUACCCAAUUUUGCGGAGACAAUGGACAGAGCCAGUAACCCUCAACGUUAUGAAUGGAGUACAGAUCUACUACGAUGGAGUAGAUUUCUUGGGUACUGAAUAAUUAAUUCAGGAGGAAGCUUCAACCCUAAUUUUGGACACAUGAACUGCACCUACAUGAAAAUGCAAAGUUAAAGAAAAAAUACCAAAUUGG